rnacentral:lncRNA from 1 species
GAAAAGAAAUAUACUGGAACAAUAUGUUACGAAGACAAAUGUAGUGCUAUUUUUGUCAAUAUCAUACAACUUACUUUUCUACCUGCGCUGGUUAUAGCCUUUUAUUACGGUGAACCGGAUCAACCAAUAAAAACACACAGGCCCAUAAAAUGAACACAGAAGACACGGCGGCCGCCACUGCUACCGGCGUCGUGGUGGUGGAGUUGCCACUAGGAGAUGCCGCAGCCACAUUUAAUCUCGAGAAAGCUGUAUGCAGCCAUGGGCUUUUCAUGAUGGCCCCCAACCAUUGGGACCCACAGUCCAAGACUCUCCAGCGGCCCCUCCGCCUCAAUCUCGAUCCCCAUCACGAGGACCAUGAAGCUUCACUCAUGGUGCAAAUCUCUCACCCUAUUGACUCCCCUCACGCGCUUCGACUCUGCGUAUUUGACACCAGCUCUCUCACCCCUCAACACCAACACUCACUGCUGGUAGGCACUUCUUUAUUUUUUAUUUUUAUUUUUAUUUUUAUUUUCUGUACUUAAUGUUCUUGAAAGGUUUGAUUCUUAACGCAUAGUGUUGUGCUUGAUGUUGAUACUUUUGGGUUUAGCUUAUUUUUCCACUUAAGUUCUUGAAGAGUAUACAAAUUAUUUUUGUCCGGGUACAAUUUUUGGUGCAUAAUGUACUGCACCAUACUUGAUGGUUGGUGCAGUUUCAUAUAGUUUUUGGAUUCACAAUGCAAUUUUUGAACUUUUUAAUAAAUUUUCUAGAUGUCGUGCCUGUUUUCACAUAUCUUCCUUUCGCACUGAUAUGUGUUUUUAUGAGCUGUAUGUUGCUAUCUUGUUUGCAUUUGGAAAUACUAGUCAUAGUUGAACUCCUGAACUGCUUUAUAGGUGCUAUAAAGGUAACCAGAAUAUAAAAAAUAAUUAAUACAAAUUGUUUAGUUGGAUUGAACUUUUGAUUGAAAUGAAAUAAAAACCAGUUUGUGAAAUCGAUGUAAAUAGUUGAAGAAGACAAUUAGAACAGUCCUCCCAUUUACCGUUUUGAGAUCAAAACUGACAUCCAACGAAUAUCAUUUCUUUCUUCAUAUUCACUUAAUGUGCAUUGAAAUUAUUUAGAUACGCAUUAUGUCCCUCCAUUUACCUUCCUGUAUCUUAACAUUCAUUGAAUAAAACAACUGGAAGAAAACUGUAAAAAUAUUCAUCUUCAGUCAAGUGCAAUGAAUCUAUCAUAUGUACAGUGAUCAUAACUAAAUAGUUGACAAAAUAAUUCAUGAUAAUAUUGUUCAAAUAAUUAAAUAAAUCAAAGACAUAUUGAAAAAUUAAAAGGUAAUGAAUCCGUUAAAUAUGAUUAAAUAAUUAAUUACAUAUUGAAAAAUGAAAAGUAAGAUAAUAAAUGUGUCAAAUGUACCUUAAUCAUAAUUAAAUAGUUGAUAAAAUAAUUAAAGAUAAUAUUGUUCAAAUGAUUAAUAAAUUUACAUACAUAUUGAAAAUGAAAAGUAGGGUAUUAUUGAAAUAAUAAAUACAUAUUAAAAACGAAAAGUAAGGUGUUAUUGAAAUAAUAGGAUUAUAGUAAGGAUAUAAUUGUCCAAAAAAUAUUCUCAAUUGAUGUGAUAAUUAAUAUAUUAUAGAUUUAAUUGGGUUACUAAUUGUAGGAUCAAGUGAGGAGAAUGUUGAGAUUAUCGGACGAAGAGAAUCAGAGGAUAAGAAAUUUUCAAGAAGUCCAUGAGGAAGCAAAAAACAGGGGGUUCGGAAGGGUUUUCAGGUCGCCAACGUUGUUUGAGGACAUGAUCAAAUGCAUUCUCCUUUGCAAUUGCCAGUGAGUGAGUUUUAUCUUUUGUUCAAGAAUAUGGUCGACCUUUGCUAAUAAUGCCUUUGCCUAACUAUUCUAUAUUGGUUAUAGUUCCCAAAUGAAAAGAAGGAAACUUGUGAAUUAGGGAAAUCAAGUUCUAUAACUUUCAGUGCAGAAAAUAUUGAAUUAAGUAUGCAGGGUUAAAAAAAUAUACCGGGCCGUUUGGUCUUGGGUACCUGUAUAUUUUUGUUUUCAACCAUGAUCUAUGAACUUCAGACUACUAAAAUCUCAAUGUAAAUAAGUUGGUGGUAACAUAUUUUGGUUUUUGUUUCGUAUAAUUAUGCCAAACUUUUCAUCCAGAAAUGAUGAAUGAGACCAAUCUUCCACUUUUAGGUUACAAGAUUCUACUUUUGGUUUCUUAUCAUUCCGAUACAAGUAUAAUUAUCAUUUUCUCCUCUGCGGGAAGAUAAAAAACUGUGAUCUUGGAAAAUGUACUGCCUAGUACGAUCUGGUGUUGUGUACGAAAUAUUCCUGAUUUGUGUAGUUUGCAUUUGUUGUCGUCAACAUGGUUGCCAUUUAGUAAACCCUGAUCUGCAAUGAUUGUCCCUCUGAAAAUUGGUGUCAAACGUAGAAGUCUAAGUAAGAAGUUAAUCGAAAGUAUUUAGUCUCUACUUUUGUAUCCGUUGAGCUUCUCUUUUGCAGGUGGUCAAGGACAUUGAGUAUGGCUAAAGCACUUUGUGAACUUCAGUUGGAACUACAGCUUUCCUUGUCUGAUGAAUCUCUUGCGAACGCUGCUAAUGAAAUUAUUUCCGGGUGUCAAACAGUUGAAACCAAUCAGUUCGUUCCGAAAACACCUGCAGGGAAAGAGUCAAAGAAAAACCCCGGAGUUCACGAAUGUUCAAUUAACUUAGCAAACAGAUAUGCAGAGGUUAAAGAAAUGGAAAAAUAUGCUAACUUGGAAGAAAGUUGUGUCCAAAUGUCAGACUGCUUCCCGGUAACCUGGAAUCUUAGUUCAUGUUUGGUUAAGCUUAAACAUUACCUUUCUGAGAAGCAUUUUUUUUUUCUUUUUGUUAAUAAAAAGUAACUUCUAAGAUUUUGUUUAGUUCAAAAAAAAGAAGCAUAGAGUUAGUUUUACUUAUUUUUAAGCUUAGCCUAAAAUAGGAUUUAGAGGAGGAUUUUUUAAGCAUCAUGAUUAGUAUCAAACAUCCUAUUGCUAUAAAGCUGACUGCUGUUGUUUUCCUGAUUUUCAGCCUUUAGAAGGGAAAGGAGUUUCCUCCUACACUAAAAUUGGAAAUUUCCCGAGCCCAAGAGAACUGGCUUCCCUUAACGAGAAGCUUUUAGCAAAACGGUGCCAUCUAGGCUAUAGAGCAGGUCGUAUAUUGAAGCUUGCUCAAGAAAUAGUUGAGGGUAGGAUUCGACUAAGAGAACUUGAAGAUGUCGUAGGUACUCUAAGCUUGUCUGAGUAUGAUAAGUUGGCGGAGAAGCUGAAAAAUAUAGAUGGAUUUGGACCGUUUACUUGUGCUAAUGUUCUGAUGUGCAUGGGAUUUUACCAUGUCAUUCCAACUGAUUCAGAAACUAUUAGGCAUCUAGAACAGGUCUAUUUCCUUUCUAUGAAAUCAACCUUUUACCAUUUAGUUCAUUCAUUCGCAUCUUCCUAAGAUCUGCUUUAAGUCCUCUGUAUAUAAUUAGGUUCAUGCCAAAAGCUCAAAAAUUCGGACAGUUCAAAGAGAUGUUGAAGUGAUUUAUGGGAAAUACGCACCAUUUCAGUUUCUAGCUUAUUGGUAAGUUGUUUUAAAUUUCUCUGUUUCAAGCCUCUUCUUCCACAGUUUGGACUCAGGUUUAAGUUUUCUAGCCGGGCUUUCUUUUGAACAGGUCAGAAGUGUGGCAGUUCUAUGAGGAAUGGUUUGGCAAGCUAAGUGAGAUGCCCCCUUCUGGUUAUAAACUUAUUACUGCUGCUAAUAUGAGGCCAAAAAGAAAUGGAGAUAAUAAGAGGAUUAAGGUAUCAUUGGAAAACAUUUAGUGAUAAAAACAAAGGGAAGUAUGAUUUAUGUUCUUUUGUAUCAGUGCAUACCUACUAUUUAUAUAUUGUAAACAAAAUUUGGUGUGAUAAUUGUUAUUUUUCUCUUAGUAAUCUUUUUUGAGGUUAUUAUGUUUCAUGUUUGAAAAUGUUGUUGAGGGUAUAUUUAUGAUCAACCGAUUUCCUCCCUUCUAUCUGUAAAUGAUGUUUGUAUCUUUAUUCAAAAUGAAAAAACAGGGAAUCUCCGUUGAUAAUCUGUCUAACAUUUUCUCCUUGCAACUACCAUUUUGCCAAUAUCAAACUUUCUGAAAUAAAGUAGCAUCAAUCAAUGGUCAUCACUCAAGAAAGUAGCAUUCAUCAAUGUGAUUUGAUUUGUUUAUGUUCACAUCUAUAUGGUGCAGAUGUGAAUUCCAAACUCGAGUCAUUGAAAAUCUAGUAAAUUCG